GUUCCUUGUUUUUCCCCGCUGUUCCCCGUGUUCCUAGCGUUUAGCGCUUUUCUCCUUGGUAAAGUGAUUACUCGUGCUUCUGACCUCUGCCUGCCCUACAACUAUUCUCCUGCUUAUUCCCUGUUUGGUUUUGUUUGCAAUUGUUGGACUGCCUACCUGUGUACCGAACUCGGAUAGUAAAACGUUUCACCCUUUGAAUCUCCCCCUGUGCUGAGUCGUGCGAUUGAGUCCUGCACAACACCCAUCAGUCGUAACAGUACGAAGACGCCCAGGAUGGACUCAGCCGACUCAGACUCAGUGCUCAGACGUAGUUUGAGCAAACAAGCCUCCUCUCUCUGCCUCGUGGCAAGGGGAAUAGAGGAGCAAGAGAGAAGUUCCCUGAAGUUCCUGAGCCUGCUGUGGGGACAAUUCGAGCAGCUCCUGGCUCGUUGGGAUUCCCUCGAUCCACUCCCCUUCUUUCCAGCUCCGGUUUCAGCACCAGCUCCAGGUCUCCUGUCGCCCGCCUUCAAAAGAGCCACGGCCGCCUUCGAGGCAGCCGCUGCCGCUGUCAACCUCGAGCAAGUGUCUAUCGCUACCACCCUCAACGCGGUCUCUGACGCCCUCCACGCAGCCCGUGGAGCUCCCUCCCUUGAAGCACGCUCCGCCGUCCUCGAAGCUGCCUUUGCAGCAUUGGAAAUAUUUUCUGCCGCACCCAAAGGAGCCUCUGGCGCUGCCUUGCUCUGUGCAGCUUCUGCUGCCAUCGAUGCAGUCUCUGCCGCCCUCGAAGCAGCCUCUGAUGCUGCCGCCUCCGAGGUCGUCUCUGCUGCCCCAGAGGUAGCCUUCGUCGCUACCACUCCCAAAGCAGCCUCUGUCGUUACCACCCCCGAAGCAGCCUCUGACGCUGCCGCCCCAGAAGCAGCCUCUGACGCUGCCGCCUCCGACGUAGCCGCUGUCGCUACCACCCCAGAAGCAGCCUCUGACGCUGCCGCCCCCGACGUAGCCUCUGUCGUUACCACCCCCGAAGCAGCCUCUGACGCUGCCGCCCCAGAAGCAGCCUCUGACGCUGCCGCCUCCGACGUAGCCUCUGUCGCUACCACCCCAGAAGCAGCCUCUGACGCUGCCGCCCCCGACGUAGCCUCUGUCGCUACCACCCCAGAAGCAGCCUCUGACGCUGCCGCCCCCGACGUAGCCUCUGUCGCUACCACCCCAGAAGCAUCCUCUGACGCUGCCGCCCCGGAAGCAGCCUCUGACGCUGCCGCCCCCGACGUAGC
ensembl:lncRNA